UGUUAUACAUGUCAUUGCAAUGCCUGGUAUAGCUGACUAUGCAGUAUAUGCUUUCUUCAUUGUUGAAGGCCGUGCUGUGACCCAUAGUUGUUAAUUUCUGUGUUAUUUGGUCUCUUGUGUACAAGUUUCAAAACAUUUGAGUGUGGCAAACUAAGGUGGAGAAUGGAAAUGUAAAAAUCAGCAUUUUUUUUCAAUAAGUAAAGGGGCAUAACUCGGGAACACCACCGAAACUCAAUCUUGGUCUGUGUUUUUGUGGUGAAAAA
rnacentral:lncRNA from 1 species